UCAUGGUCAGAUUCGCCGAGGUGUGCGAAGCCGCGGUCGCAGACGUGGAUGCCGCCGUGAGAUUCUUUCACGGCGCCGUCGCCUACUACUUUCUGGACGUCGCGGCCGAGAAUACACAGAAGCCCGGCAAGUCCUAGAUGCGAGCCAUGGUGAUGUGCAGUUCCAGUCCAAGAUCUAGGUACUGCGCCAGCGUCUCCAACAUCCGUACCCCUGCCUCCGCUGCAUCCGCUUGUACUGGACACCGCGGAUCUCCUCUCACCCUGACAACAAGCAAGGGAGUAUGUAGUGGGGUCUGGGAAAGAAUAGCAGUUGGGUGCAGAGGCAUGGAUGCAGUGAAAGCCACAUCAACAUGGUAGGUUGCUAGCAUGCUGCUAUCUCGUACACUAUGAAGAAGUACGACUGAACAUUGGGUGUUUAAGACGGCACUACAUAUGAUUGGAAACGAAUAGAGAUUCACUAACUGAGGAUGAGGCUCAUUUAAUCAGUCAUCAUCCGUCAAUGAAAACAAGGCAGAGA